rnacentral:rRNA from 1 species
AAGCUCGUAGUUGAAUUUCGAAUGUGGCUGGGCGGUCCGCCUCACGGUGUGUACUGUCUGGCUGUGUUCUCUUUCUUGGUGAGCCGGCAUGCCCUUUACUGGGUGUGUUGGGGAACCAGGACGUUUACCUUGAGAAAAUUAGAGUGUUCAAAGCAGGCCUACGCCCGAAUACAUUAGCAUGGCAUAAUAAAAUAGGACGUGCGGCUCUAUUUUGUUGGUUUCUAGAGCCGCAGUAAUGAUUAAUAGGGAUAGUUGGG